rnacentral:rRNA from 1 species
UACAGAGGUCUCAAGCGUUGUUCAGAUUCAUUGGGCGUAAAGGGUGUGUAGGCGGCGCGCUAAGUCGGGUGUGAAAUUUCGGAGCUUAACUCCGAAACUGCAUUCGAUACUGGCGUGCUUGAGGACUGGAGAGGAGACUGGAAUUCAUGGUGUAGCAGUGAAAUGCGUAGAGAUCAUGAGGAAGACCAGUGGCGAAGGCGGGUCUCUGGACAGUUCCUGACACUGAGACACGAAGGCCAGGGGAGCAAACGGG